rnacentral:rRNA from 1 species
UACGUAGGGGGCGAGCGUUGUUCGGAUUUACUGGGCGUAAAGAGCGCGUAGGCGGUUCGAUCAGUCGGAGGUGAAAUCCCUCGGCUCAACCGAGGACCCGCGUCCGAUACUGUCGAACUUGAGUGCAGGAGAGGAGAGCGGAAUUCCCAGUGUAGCGGUGAAAUGCGUAGAUAUUGGGAGGAACACCGGUGGCGAAGGCGGCUCUCUGGACUGCCACUGACGCUGAGGCGCGAAAGCUAGGGGAGCAAACGGG